CAACCACGGGCGCAGUAGAAGCUGGCAGCCUGAAUGCCAGUAAAACUUAUUUCUACGGCUGUUUAGCUGUUUUUUCGUCUGCAUUAAAUGACAAGGACCUCACUGCUGUAUGAUCCUGCGCUGCUGGCAAAGGCAAUUAUAUGUUUGCUAUUGCACUGCGGUGAACAUCGGCUGGCUGGAGCCUGUAGUCCCUCCCAAAGCAAAAAUCUAAAUGAUGUCAUCGAGGAGGGCCUGCGCUCCUACCGGCAAGACGACCGGGUGACGUUGACCUUCCCGUCUUCCCCGCCCGUCACGGACGGAGUGUUGCGGCGUCCCCGUCUCGGAGAGGAUGUUAGGUUGGAGUGCUACAUCCCUCCCGGCAGAGACUGGCGCAACAUAACCUGGCUGCAUCAGGAUCGGACCAUCUUCGAAGCGGGCCGAAUAGCCGCGGGGAUACCGAACGGUCAACAGUACCGGCUGGCCCUCUCAAGCCCGACCCAAACUUUGACCAUCGUCAAUGUGACGCUGCAGGCAAGUGGUACGGUACGCUGCAUGGAUACCGCCUCCAGCACGCAGCCAACGAUCAUCACGCAGUAUACGCUGCGGCCCUCGUCAGGCAUGCCAGCGAGAUCUUCGUCCCGGUGACUCCGCAGUCUGUCCGGGUAGGCGAGCGCAUCACGCUUCCCUGCGGGGUCCGGAUGCCCUUACCCGACGACCUGAUAAUCAAUCGUUACAAUCAUCUCAUCUGGCGGUACAAGGGGAAACUCCUGCACGCACCCACCGAAGAACCCUACGGGGCGCUCUGGCCCAAAGGUCGCCCACGCCCCUCCAUACAAUCGACGGGGGUGUUGGUGCAAAACCGUCCUGGGGCUACGGCAAAUUUUCCAAUGACCCUGGACGGGAUGAGCGCUGAGGACAGCGGCUACGCGGAGUGCUGGUUCCGACCACACCCCGGUGCCCACGAAUGGGUUGUUCAGCGUACAGCGAUGGCUGUCGUGCCGCCCGGGACCUGACCUCUGUACAAGCGCAGUGCUGACUGCAGACCAACCUUACAGAAACUGGUCCUUACUUUAGGCGUGAUCCCUUGUACUUAUUGGGACAACGUAUCGUCCGUUUGCACAUAUACUGUGGAUACGUAAUGCGGCACCCUUCUACGUCAGCCAACGGGACGAUUUGUCAUUGUGCGCGCUGUACAACUGCCGCAUUUGCCAUUUGUUCUUUGGCUGACCACCGCCGAUGAGCAGCUCACCGACACCAAGCUGCAGAACGCAAUGUGCGCCCUUACGUGAUCUUUGACUGUUCCCAAGAUGGGGCUUACCGUGGGACCUCGCUCAUCGCUGCCGGACCAGAGCACCUUCCGCGGGUAUAAAGUCAGAUAACGCUGACCAUUUCCCGAAGAUAGUCUGUAUGGCCGCGCUUUACAAGGUCAUCCGCUGUAUGGAGCACGUACAUCCGACCCAGAUCCCAUCGCGCAAUGUUAUGGACGUGGACGGCCAUUUCGAUGAGUUUCCGGUCGGCGAUCUUCUUGGCAAGAGGCGCCUGGCUCUGGCCUUGGCGGCGGCAGUAGUCCAGGAACGUACGUGCCGUGCGGUCGUUUUUGAGGACACGAAGCGUUGAAGUUGAACGCCAGGUAACCGUCGACUAUACCGGGCGUUUGGAUGCUAAAUUCGCGUCCCAUGUCAGGUUGCGCGAGGCGCCUUCCCUGGUUAGCUUGGGUGACGCCGGCAGGUCUGGAGGGAGCCUCAUUGUACGGUAACAUUGCUGGUACGGCGUAUACUGUGUCGCGGCAGGCCCGGCCAAAACAGUGACAUGCGAGUACAAUGAUAACAGUAUGAUCUUAACGUAAUUCACGGGCAUGUAUACUCACCGUGAAAAGUUUGGAACACGAGAUAAGCUUUGCUGCCUUCGAGGGAUCAAUUUUCCUUGGUUGCUCGCCGUUACCCACACGCACCGCCCGUGCCAUUGAGGAAAUGAAGGGAAACUUAACGGGGUGCAAAAUCAAUCGAAUAAACUACGUAGUCCCGCUGCCUGCUGUAAACCAGUCGGCAACGCGUGGCAAUUAAAAAAACAUUGCCUAGCAGCACUACCGAGCCGUAUAGGUUAAUAUGGCUCAACAGCGUACUGUGAUGUCGUACUUAUUACUUGCUAGUUAUUACAGUACUUACUUCCUUAUUGUUAGUACAGUGCGGUUGAGUUUCCGCCAUCAGUACGAGAAGAAUUUUCGCUAUGUUCUUUCUUUCUCUGUUCCUUUCUUCUUUUCUUCGCUUUGCAUUCCUAUUUUUCUUCAGUUUUCUUCGUACUGGUUCUCCAUGGAGCAGUUUUAUAUCAAUUUUUCGCGUAUUUUCGUAU